rnacentral:rRNA from 1 species
GGAAUUUUGGACAAUGGGCGAAAGCCUGAUCCAGCAAUGCCGCGUGUGUGAAGAAGGCCUUCGGGUUGUAAAGCACUUUUGUCCGGAAAGAAAUGGCUCUGGUUAAUACCUGGGGUCGAUGACGGUACCGGAAGAAUAAGGACCGGCUAACUACGUGCCAGCAGCCGCGGUAAUACGUAGGGUCCAAGCGUUAAUCGGAAUUACUGGGCGUAAAGCGUGCGCAGGCGGUUGUGCAAGACCGAUGUGAAAUCCCCGAGCUUAACUUGGGAAUUGCAUUGGUGACUGCACGGCUAGAGUGUGUCAGAGGGGGGUAGAAUUCCACGUGUAGCAGUGAAAUGCGUAGAGAUGUGGAGGAAUACCGAUGGCGAAGGCAGCCCCCUGGGAUAACACUGACGCUCAUGCACGAAAGCGUGGGGAGCAAACA